AGCGAACGCUGGCGGCAGGCCUAACACAUGCAAGUCGAACGGAUCCUUCGGGAUUAGUGGCGGACGGGUGAGGAACACGUGGGAACGUGCCUUUUGGUUCGGAACAACUCAGGGAAACUUGAGCUAAUACCGGAUAAGCCCUUCGGGGGAAAGAUUUAUCGCCAUUAGAGCGGCCCGCGUCAGAUUAGCUAGUUGGUGAGGUAAAGGCUCACCAAGGCGACGAUCAGUAGCUGGUCUGAGAGGAUGAUCAGCCACACUGGGACUGAGACACGGCCCAGACUCCUACGGGAGGCAGCAGUGGGGAAUCUUGCGCAAUGGGCGAAAGCCUGACGCAGCCAUGCCGCGUGAAUGAUGAAGGUCUUAGGAUUGUAAAAUUCUUUCACCGGGGACGAUAAUGACGGUACCCGGAGAAGAAGCCCCGGCUAACUUCGUGCCAGCCGCCGCCGUAA
rnacentral:rRNA from 1 species